GCGGCCGUGGUCUAGUCUGGACUAGGACGGCGGCCCCCCAAGCCGCAGAACCCGGGUUCAAAUCCCGGCGGCCGCACCA
rnacentral:tRNA from 1 species